AUGGCAAAGGUGGCGGUUACUAAGGUGCUAGAUUCAAAUGUUCAAGUCCCUAUGCCCACUGAUGAGGUGACAAAGGUUGGUGAAGCCCUCGAUAAUUUCAUCCAAUGGCCAAAAAGACUAUUGCGUCUUGUUACUAAUAAGGAUGUUAAAGGAAAUACAAAGAUGCCCUUUCAUCUAAAAGGCCAGAACCUGAAAACACCGGCGCUGAAAAAUUGA